rnacentral:rRNA from 1 species
GCCUCCACCAUGCUACCCUGAAUAAGCUUGAUCUCGGAAGCUAAGCAGAGUCGGGCCUAGUUAGUACUUGGAUGGGAGACCACCUAGGAAGACCAGGUGCUGUAGGCC